rnacentral:rRNA from 1 species
UCCCAGACUCCUACGGGAGGCAGCAGUGGGGGAUAUUGCACAAUGGGGGGAACCCUGAUGCAGCAACGCCGCGUGGGUGAAGGAGUAUUUCGGUAUGUAAAGCCCUAUCGGCAGGGAAGAAGCAAGACGGUACCUGACUAAGAAGCCCCGGCUAACUACGUGCCAGCAGCCGCGGUAAUACGUAGGGGGCGAGCGUUAUCCGGAUUCACUGGGUGUAAAGGGAGCGUAGACGGCCAAGCAAGCCAGGGGUGAAAGCCCGGGGCCCAACCCCGGGACUGCCCUUGGAACUGCUUGGCUGGAGUGCGGGAGGGGCAGGCGGAAUUCCUGGUGUAGCGGUGAAAUGCGUAGAUAUCAGGAGGAACACCGGCGGCGAAGGCGGCCUGCUGGACGAUGACUGACGUUGAGGCUCGAAAGCGUGGGGAGCAAACAGGAUUAGAUACCCUUGUA